rnacentral:lncRNA from 1 species
UUGGGGGGCUUUUUUUGUGGAAUUUUUUUAAAAGUGGUUUAGGAGGGAAUUAACAUAAGCUUAGAACAUGGUUGUUGUCAGAGAAAUACAAUUGGAGUAAUUUUUUUAAAAAUGGGUAAGAAAAAAAUUAAAAAGCUGUAAUUUGCUUUUUUUUUCCUUAGCAAGUUUCUGGCUGUUGCCAGCCUGCUGCAGUCCUGGCAGUGUUUUCAGUGACAGCCCUUUAGGGAGGAUGCUUUUAUUUAAGAGCAAUAGUAUCUGUGUCAAGAUAGUUCUGCUUUCUCACACACUGCUGCUGGCUUGGACAGCUGCUGAAAACCUUCCCUGCUUCCUGGAGGCGCAUAGGUUCCAUCUCAAGAAUGAGCUCCAGAGGUAAAACCAGUUAAUGGAGUAGAGAGGAAAAGAAACUAUCAUUCUCUUCCUUUCAAGAUUGACAACAAACUACUGCAGCUUCUCCUGUUUAUUUGCCUGUAGUUGCAAACAUACUGCCUGCAAAAGCCUAAACACCAUCAGGAGCAGAAAGCCCUCGUGGGGGUGCAUUCCUUCUCCAAGGAAUACAUUUUGGCUGAGGUACUCAUAAAACUAGCCCCAAGCAGUUCCUUGUGCUGAGGUUUGCUGAGCUGGACAUGAAAAUGGGGUCUCCAUUGUAAAGUCCUUGACUGUCACUUAUAACACAAGCCCUAGGUAUAGUUACCCGAAGGGAGGCUCAGUGGUGUUCAUUGACCCUUCUGGCUUAAAGGUGCCUUUUUUAUCUUUUGUGUUAGGAUUUGUCAUCUUUGUGUGAAUAAUUAAAUACUCCCUGAGAAAGGCUGACCCCGCAGCCUGGUAGCCACGCAUAGCCUUGAUUAGGAGAGCCAAGAAAGAGUCUUCUAGUCCUGCCAUUGGUAUGAGAAAAGGGGCAGGUUGUACCCAGCCACAGCUCUUUAAAAAGCUCAAGAUGCAGAUGUCUUUCAGAUGAGCCUGGAGCCAUGGCUCAGCUCUUAUACUGCAUUAGUGAGAAAAACAAUUUGUUACGAGUCCAGAAAAACAGUGACUAAUGAAAAUGCCAUCCUGGCGACAGGGAUAUGUGAAUGUGGGUGGGCAUAGCUGACAUGCAAGAGGUAUGUUCAGCUGGAGCCAACUCUAAGCAGCUGGUGAAAGCAAUAUGUAGGUGACUCAAAGCAUGGACAACUUUUAGUGAGCAUCCACUGGAAUCACAGCAGCUAGUGAACUCUGAUCCCACUCCAAGCUAUGCCAAAGAUGUGGCGUCAGCACCAGGUCUUGUAGCCAUAUAACUUUCUGCCGGCUCAAAACUAAUGUGUUUUCCGCUCCAAUUCCUCAUGCAACCCUGCUGCCCACCAGGCUGUCCCACCAGCAGCUUCCUGGCUGGC